rnacentral:rRNA from 1 species
AACCAGACUUGCGCGCGGCCGAUCAUCCGGUGUUCUCACCGGUGCACUCGGCCGUGCUCAGGCCAGCAUCGGUUUUGGCGGCUGGAUAAAGGCCCUAGGAAUGUGGCUCCUCUCGGGGAGUGUUAUAGCCUAGGGUGCAAUGCAGCCUGCUGGGACCGAGGACCGCGCUUCGGCUAGGAUGCUGGCGUAAUGGUUGUAAGCGGCCCGUCUUGA